CAUUCAUAUUCACAAGAAUCACAACCCUGCUCCUUCCCCUCCAUAUGCUGCGGCUAUUGCAUCUUAUUUCUUCUUUAGUUCAACACAAGUAUAUUUGAAGAUAUGUCUGUGCUAUAGAGAAUGAAACACUUGUUAAUGUUCCGAAUGAAGCCGUAGUUAAUCACUUGAAAAGCACGAAAGAGCGCCGAGAACCAUUGUAGAAGUCACCACGACACCAUCGGCGCAGGCGCAGUACAUCAGGGUAGGUGAAGAUGAAGAAGAAAGAGGAGGCGAAAAAAUACCGAAGGAGGAGGACCAAGGAUCGCCAAUGAGAAAGAAAGAAAUCUCUAAUUACUUGUUUGUAUUGGUUAUUUUAGCCUUAGCGCCAUAAUGUAGGAUUCGUUGGUUGAUGAAUGAGCAUUCCGGUGUGGCAUGACGGUGACACUUCGGUUUGAGCUGACCGGGGUGUUACAGUUGGUAUAAGA